UCCCCUCAUGUGAAAUCCGACGCGGGAUCCGUUUACAUCCAUUCGGGUCGACUUUAUUACAUACCAUAGAUAAACAAUCUUCAUCUUCUCUGAUACGGCAACAAGGUCGAUUAGGGUUUUUGAUCAGCCGCUCUCCCCUCGGUUCCUUUUCUACCUUUGUUCAAUCUAGAAUUUUGAUAAUUGUCUCUCGCUCUUAUGAUCGUAUCCACCUACAACUUGAAAAUCAAUCCGAUUGUAUGGUAUCAACAUUACUUCGAACCCUAAUUCGCAUCACUGAAAGAUCUUCAAUAACAAGAUGUCUUUUGAACCCACUUGCUCACAUAAAUCUUUAGUAUUACGUGUGCAUUUGAUGAAUCUUGGAAGACUUGGGAGCUCGGGGUGGAAUUAUUUCCGACGUUGGACUUCUUUGAGACACAAAUGUCAUCCACACCAAGGCGUGGUAAAAGCGAAAAGGAAGAAAGAUCGGUAAGGCUCAUGAUCAGAUAACAAAUCAACCGCGACAACGAAGGCUGCAUCCGAAUUUUUCCCCACAACUUCAGCACGUCAUAAAAGAGGUCAUAUCGCAGUGUGGUGACGUCGAAGUGAGCAACUAUAGUAGAGUCGGUGGUCUCAGAUGUUGGCGAGACAGGGGUUUAGGUCUGAAUUGCACUGAUGGUUGCUAAGGUGUGGAUGAUGCCGACGACUAGGGUUGUUGUCGAGUGUAGAUGGUGGUUGAUUGGAAUUUAGGCUUUUGCGCUAACUCUCCAUUGGAGUAGUCGAGAAUCGUCAUCAAUCAACAAACACCAGGUGAAAGCCAUUAAGCGGCUAUGAUGGGAUUUCUUGCUUUUUUUUAUAAGAAAGGCGAUUCUAACCUUUGAAUGAUUACCUUUGGAUGGUGCGUUCAAUGGUCAUGUACUUGACUAUUGUUUUGCAAGGCUACCAUGGUUGUUGGGCUGGAUUUUGCACAUGAGCAUUUUUAUGUUUCUUGAGGAAUCGUCCUAUCUAGCCAUGAUGGAUUAUGUUUGAUAUCAAUGUCUAUGAUGAUUUGUAUGAGUUCAAAGAAACAUGAAUUUUUAUGUCUAUUGGUGCGACAACUAAGAUAUGAUCUACAUAUAUAAUGCUUACUUACACAAGCUGGUAACAUCUUUUCUAUCUCAUCCACUUGCAAGAUACAAGGUGAAAGGAACAGAGGAGAUGGCCACACCUUCUCAGAAAAUUAGAUGAAAAUCUAUAUAGCCCUGAAAAUUGUUGGUACCUUUGUUCCUUUUAUGUUCAUCUUCUCCGCGCUUUGCGAGGCGUGUUUUCUGCCAGUACUGGAUCGGUUCGUUACUUUAUCGGUACGAUGCCGGCAUUCAGUAUAGCAACUGACCAUCAGUUGAAAACCAUAAAAAUGCAUGUCGAUACUGGGUUUUUAACAGCUUUGGUUUGGAGAAACAGAAGGCUCUUCAUCUUGGAAUGCUGCCAUAGCCCAUGUCUUGACAGUGAUGGUUCGGGUCGGAUCAUGGAUAAACUUUGUCAACGACAUUCAACUACGGUCAAUCACAGUCAAGAGUGGUCCAUCUGAAGGUUGUUAUAGUUAAUAUCAUCCUAGGCACUCAUGUAUGGGCAGAAGACCUAGCAGUAUGUUGAGUGGUGGAGGUUGCGACUAAUUUUGUUGGUGAUCAUUCACGUUACAACCUUCUGAAUAGGAAAUCAUUUUUUUUUGUGUUAUUUUUCUUGAUUCGUAAUCCAUCAUCCUCAUCUAUGCUUCUGUUUUGGGUUGCGACUGGACCUGAUAACCAAUUGGUUGCUUUAUGUGGUUUUAUUCGCUGAUGGUUUGCCCAGAGCCGAAUUUCGAAGGAGUCGUUUCUUUGUCUGUUUUGGAAUGUGGAACAUCGGACUAGCGGAGUCAAACUACAAGGUUUUGACUACAUUAACGACUCAAAAGUAUUUGUUGUAAAUUUACCCUUGAGUAUGCUUAAAAGAAUUUGUGGUAUGGUGUCAAAAUGGGUAUUAGUGAGUCAAAACAACAGGCCGGGUGGAGUCAACCGGCAAACACCUUCUGUAUCUUUUUUUUUUUUUUUUAAUUUGUAACUAAAUUUGUGU
rnacentral:lncRNA from 1 species